rnacentral:lncRNA from 1 species
GAGAGCCCCGGCUCCGGCUCCGGGCCCGGCCCCGCUCUGCCCACGGAGGAGAAGCCGCGGCCCAGCCCGAGGCCCGUCCUGCCGCAGCUCGGGGGAUGCCCAGGACACCAGGCUGGACGUGGGUUCACCCUACCUGUUGCUCAUUUUCUGGCUGAUGAAUUGUAGGUCUCUGGUCAUGAGAGUUCACUGGGCAUAUCCUGGUAAGGGAAUUUUUAAAAAAUUUGGAUUUUUAAGAAAGAGUUUUCCUAAACUUACCCUGGGUCUGGCACCAACAGGCUGCCAGGAUGGGCUGAGAGCCUCCAUGGCAAGUGUGUGGGGACUAGUGAGAGCCCAUGGUGACCACGUGGGGAAAAAGAGGAGCCAAAAUCUCUGUGGCCACCAGCACUUUCCUUGCUGACCACUUGGCCCAAGGUCUCAAGCAUCUGGAUUUUUUUCUGUGUUUAACAUUUUUUUUUUGUGGGUUUGUUAACUCGUAAUGCCCAAGCCCGGGGAGAGGUCUGUCUCAUCCAGGAGAACAAAAACAGGGGAGGGGGGGUUACCUGUUAAAUGGCAAGGAGAUAAUAAAGGUGUUUCUGUUGUGUUUGGUUUUAGCUCAGACUGGCUCAUUACUCUGUGAAUCAGGAGUGGGGGUUAGAUGCAAAGCCCCACCCUCCAAAAGGCACGAGGAGCUGCCAGCAGGACCUUGUCUCCAGGGACCCUCAGCAGAAGCCCCUCACCACGGCUGAUCCCACCUCAUCUUCCUCCUCCUCUCCCUGCUCUGCCCGCAGAGCCUGGCCUGGAGCAUGAUGCGAUCCUGAUUUACAGCAGAGCCUGUCCAGGCUGCCCAGGGCUGCUGACCAGCACCGGGGGACACAGCCAGGCUGCAGAGGACACCGGGACGUGCCCACCCUGCCCACUGCACUGCGGGCCACUCGCCGGACACCUGACUGUGCUUUUUCACCCAUCCAUGGAUGCCACCUGGAUGUGUCCAUGAAGCAGAAGCUGGCAGCUCGCUCUUGGACCUUCAAAGCUGGCUCAGCAAGGUCUGCAGGGCCGUGUUUCAGUCACAGCCCUGUCAGUUCCCUUCCCUUCUCAAGGAUUAGGAUGAGGCAAAUACCUUCAGUCUGGUUUAAUCCUCAGUACCUGAUUCUGCAGGAGUCUGCUGGCACACACACAUCUCACUAAUAGCCAGGUAACUCGCAGGGCUAAAUCACUCCAGGCUUUUUUUCAUUACAACCUCCUUUUAAAGCACAUUUAAAUGCUUCCCCGCAGGCUCAUGUGGGGGCUGUUAAGGGCUUCAUUUGAAUAAAUAAGGGCAUAGGUAGAGGAGGAACA